rnacentral:rRNA from 1 species
AUCGAACGCUGGCGGCAUGCCUUACACAUGCAAGUCGAACGGCAGCACGGGUGCUUGCACCUGGUGUCGAGUGGCGAACGGGUGAGUAAUACAUCGGUACAUGUCCUUUAGUUUGGGAUAGCCCUGCGAAAGCCGGAUUAAUUCCGCAUUCGAUCUACGUACGAAAGCGGGGGACCUUCGGGCCUUCCGCGGUAGGGUUGGCAGAUGGCUGAUUAGCUAGUCUGUGGGGUAAAGGCCUACCCAGGCGACGAUCAGUAGCUGGUCUGAGAGAAGGACCAGCCACACUAGAACUGAGACACGGCCCAGACUCCUACGAGAGGCAGCAGUGGGGAAUUGUGGACAAUGGGCGAAAGCCUGAUACAGCAAUGCCGCGUGUGUGAAGACAGCCUUCGGGUUGUAAAGCACUUUUGUCCGGAAAGAAAUCCUUGGCCCUAAUACGGUCGGGGGAUGACGGUACCGGAAGAAUAAGCACCGGCUAACUACGUG